AGCUAGGUCGUUUUGUUGCAUAUCCCAGAUUUUGUGUAUGCCGAAAGAAAGUGUUAGCCAUGUCACCACUUGUGUCGAAUCUGCAAUCGAAACCAAAGUUUCAGGAUGUAGAAAUAAUAAGCUCUAGCGGCUCCGUUCAUCGUGUGUGUAUAAUAUCAACAUGUUUAGUUGUGGCAGUUCUUAUUAUUGCUGCUACUACAUUUGGUUCUGUGGCAUACAAUCGCCAUCUUUUUAGUAAAGAGGAAUACAAAGCCACAGCCAUAGCGGAUGGAUACAAUAUACCAGAAAAUAUUCAUGUUGAUUACCAGAAGGAAUUGAUCUAUGUCAGCAAUAAACAGGUUGGACCAAUAGAUGCUCUGAAUGCUCUUCACAACUAUGACCGAAAACUUCUGGCUUUUUAUGAUUUGAGAACUAACACAUGUUACAUUGAUCGCCUUGAUCAAACGUUUGAUGAAGGUCUGAAAUCUUGGUCAUCUCAUGCCGGCAAUGACAGAAUUCCACCGAAGGUUCGUUUUGACUACACACCAGAGCCAAUCAAUCAAGACGUUCUGAGAAAAUUUGCUGGUGCUGAAAUCGCAGAUCAUUGUAGAAAUGUGACGUCACACUGGAUGAUUAAUAUUCGGCCGUACACAUCAGAAAACAGACAAAGGCGUGCAGCGCGCAUAGCAACAGAGCCAGUGUUUUGCUGUGCAAGUGAGUAUUGCGCUUAAGAUGAUGACAUCCAUUACGAUCUAACGACACAAUCUUUUAUCUACACAGUUACAACACUUUUAGUUCUAGUAGUAAAUAUGUAUAUCUUUUCCCAGCAUAGAAAUGUACUCAUUCAUAUAAUUGUAGAGAAUAACUGAUGAUUCAUUUUAUUGAAUAUUUUAACGAUAAUAAUACCUUUUUUCAGCAUAGAAAUGUACUUAUUCAAAUAAUUCAAAUAAUUUUACUGAAUAUUUUA